GUCCCUGGUCGGCGGGGUGCCGCCGGGCACCCUCUCAAGGUGGGAACACGGGUUCGAAUCCCGUUGGGGCUG
rnacentral:tRNA from 1 species